rnacentral:rRNA from 1 species
GACGAACGCUGGCGGCGUGCCUAAUACAUGCAAGUCGAGCGAACGGACGAGAAGCUUGCUUCUCUGAUGUUAGCGGCGGACGGGUGAGUAACACGUGGAUAACCUACCUAUAAGACUGGGAUAACUUCGGGAAACCGGAGCUAAUACCGGAUAAUAUUUUGAACCGCAUGGUUCAAAAGUAAAAGACGGUCUUGCUGUCACUUAUAGAUGGAUCCGCGCUGCAUUAGCUAGUUGGUAAGGUAACGGCUUACCAAGGCAACGAUGCAUAGCCGACCUGAGAGGGUGAUCGGCCACACUGGAACUGAGACACGGUCCAGACUCCUACGGGAGGCAGCAGUAGGGAAUCUUCCGCAAUGGGCGAACGCCUGACGGAGCAACGCCGCGUGAGUGAUGAAGGUCUUCGGAUCGUAAAACUCUGUUAUUAGGGAAGAACAUAUGUGUAAGUAACUGUGCACAUCUUGACGGUACCUAAUCAGAAAGCCACGGCUAACUACGUG